rnacentral:rRNA from 1 species
AUGCCGGACCAGGUCUACGCCGUCACCGACGCGGAGUUCAAGGAGCAUAUGAAGUUAAUGCUCGUCCACAUCAACGGCCCUGCUCCGCCAUCGGGGGUGCUCCUCCUCGUGAAGUCGGAGUCGACAUCUCCUCCAUGCUCUUCGUCGCCGCUGCCGCGGCGUCCAAAUCAGACGCCACGUGAAGGAAGAGCGGCUCUCGCCCCCGCCCCGCGCGCAUCGUGGAGGAGAGAUGCUCGCCGCCACCCCGACGCUUCGUCAAGGAGGAGCACCGCGUGUGGCCCACCCCGAUGCAUCGUCAAGGAGGAGCGCCGCGCACCGCCGCCCCUGCCCAAGGCACGCGGUCGCCUUCUCCACCACCUCGGCAGCGGUGUCAGCUGUUCGUCCUCCUGGAGUGCCAUGACAGCGCAUGAGUACAUCGACCGGGAGCAGUACCGACGGGACAGCCGCGCGCCGGUCCAAGUUCGCGGACUCGGAUGCCCCCCGCCACACAUCGCGGUGGAUCCGGUCCUGGCGUAUGUCUGA